rnacentral:rRNA from 1 species
AUUGAACGCUGGCGGCAGGCCUAACACAUGCAAGUCGAGCGGAUGAGUGGAGCUUGCUCCAUGAUUCAGCGGCGGACGGGUGAGUAAUGCCUAGGAAUCUGCCUGGUAGUGGGGGACAACGUUGCGAAAGGAACGCUAAUACCGCAUACGUCCUACGGGAGAAAGUGGGGGAUCUUCGGACCGCACGCUAUCAGAUGAGCCGAGGUCGGAUUAGCUAGUUGGUGAGGUAAAGGCGCACCAAGGCGACGAUCCGUAACUGGUCUGAGAGGAUGAUCAGUCACACUGGAACUGAGACACGGUCCAGACUCCUACGGGAGGCAGCAGUGGGGAAUAUUGGACAAUGGGCGAAAGCCUGAUCCAGCCAUGCCGCGUGUGUGAAGAAGGUCUUCGGAUUGUAAAGCACUUUAAGUUGGGAGGAAGGGCAGUAAGUUAAUACCUUGCUGUUUUGACGUUACCAACAGAAUAAGCACCGGCUAACUUCGUGCCAGCCGCCGCGGUAAGAC